ACGGGAGGCAGCAGUCGGGAAUAUUGCGCAAUGGAGGGAACUCUGACGCAGUGACGCCGCGUAUAGGAAGAAGGUUUUCGGAUUGUAAACUAUAGUCUGCAGGGAAGAAGAAAGACAGUACCUGCAAAGAAAGCUCCGGCUAACUACGUGCCAGCAGCCGCGGUAAUACGUAGGGAGCAAGCGUUAUCCGGAUUUAUUGGGUGUAAAGGGUGCGUAGACGGGAAAUUAAGUUAGUUGUGAAGUCCCUCGGCUCAACUGAGGACGUGCAACUAAAACUGGUUUUCUUGAGUGCAGGAGAGGCAAGUGGAAUUCCUAGUGUAGCGGUGAAAUGCGUAGAUAUUAGGAGGAACACCAGUGGCGAAGGCGACUUUCUGGACUGUAACUGACGUUGAGGCACGAAAGUGUGGGGAGCAAACAGGAUUAGAUACCCUGGUA
rnacentral:rRNA from 1 species